AGUUUCUUUUCUACAUGUGAAAAUGACAUCAUCCAAAGAAGUUCUUCAUCUGUAUGUUAUAUGAAGAAGACAAUUUUCAUCACAGUGAAAGAGAUUGUUUUGUUAAACAUAAUGCAUUGAUACACAAAUAUACUUUUAGAUUUUUAAUAGCUAGGGUUCAUAAUUUUUAAUAUGGAAUGCUAAGUACUGUUGAUUUCAAUUUUUUUGUGAACAAAGACAUACUACAUGUGUAAACCCGAUGACUUUAUAAUUGCUGAUUAAAUCAAUUAUGAGUUUCAUCUUUGUUGCAUUGUAAACAUUUCUAAGUAGGGCAUACGUCAGAAACUCUUAAAAUUCUGAGUAUCAGGGUUUAGCACAACAAUUCCAAAUGAUUUUUGGCUCUUUAUGUAUCAAAAAAAAAAAAAAAACAUACAAAAAAACAGAAUGUUUGUUCACAGAUGUUCCAAUGGAAAACAAACACAAAAAAUUGAUUAGAUAUGUUCUUUAUGUGAUUCAUGUAAAAUGUAUUUUAAAAUUGUACCCUAACAUUAAGCUUUUGCAUAAAUAAAUUUUUUGGUGGAGAAUUUCUCAUAACUUGUAAAAGUAGUCUUAUUGUAUAAUAUGGUUAACUUUAAAUUUUGUAGACUUAAAAGUUGUACAUGAUGGGUUACACAUCUUUCAUAUGUAACCAUUUCAUUUCAGGGCAUUCAGCAUAUAUUGUGGUUUUGUUUAUAAAUUUGUUUCUUCAUGUAAUCAAUAAUUUGAAAAUACUCAAAUUAGGUAAUGCAUGAGAGAAUAGGCAAGAAAAUCAGGUUUAAGAAGUGGUUUUUACUAUUUAUAAGGGGUUAAUCUAUAUAUUGAAUCUAUAAGUACAUUUAGUCUAUACAAUUAAGGUAUUUGUAUAUGAAAUAAACCUGCAUUUGAGCAUUUUAAGACAAUUGUAAACAUUACUUUAACCAGUUUAAAAAUGAUUAGAUUCACUGUCAGCAUGUUAUUUCUUGUAAAAUAAAUGAGAAAACCAAUUUUAUUUGAGUCAGUUU